GGCUCUUUUUGAGCAAUAUGGAGACAUUCGAACACUUUAUACAGCCUGCAAACAUCGUGGUUUUGUUAUGAUCUCUUACUAUGACAUUAGGACAGCUCGAAAUGCAAUGAGAUCUCUUCAGAAUAAGCCACUGAGGCGUAGGAAACUUGACAUACAUUAUUCAAUUCCAAAGGUGCAUGGCUUUUGUAGUUAUUUUUCUCUUAUGAACAUCGUUAUUUUUGUUUUCCUUGUCAUUUCUGUGGUUGCUUUUGUUUGUUUAAUUGGAGUCUUGCUUUCGCAUGUUUCUAUUUACACUUGGUGUUUUUUUGGUAUUUCUGGAUAUCAGGACAAUCCAUCUGAGAAAGAU
rnacentral:misc_RNA from 1 species